rnacentral:rRNA from 1 species
AGGACGAACGCUGGCGGCGUGCUUAACACAUGCAAGUCGAGCGGUAAGGCCUUUCGGGGUACACGAGCGGCGAACGGGUGAGUAACACGUGGGUGAUCUGCCCUGCACUCUGGGAUAAGCCUGGGAAACUGGGUCUAAUACCGGAUAUGACCUGCUCUCGCAUGGGGGUGGGUGGAAAGAUUUAUCGGUGCAGGAUGGGCCCACGGCCUAUCAGCUUGUUGGUGGGGUAAUGGCCUACCAAGGCGACGAC